rnacentral:rRNA from 1 species
UACGUAGGGGGCAAGCGUUGUCCGGAUUUAUUGGGCGUAAAGCGCGUGUAGGUGGCCAAGUAGGUCCGCUGUGAAAACUUGAGGCUCAACCUCAAGCUGUCGGUGGAAACCCCUUGGCUAGAGUCCGGAAGAGGAGAGUGGAAUUCCUGGUGUAGCGGUGAAAUGCGCAGAUAUCAGGAAGAACACCAAUGGCGAAGGCAGCUCUCUGGGACGGUACUGACACUGAGACGCGAAAGCGUGGGGAGCGAACAGG